GAUGAACGCUGGCGGCGUGCCUAAUACAUGCAAGUCGAACGGAAGGUAGCAAUACCUUUAGUGGCGAACGGGUGAGUAACGCGUUGGUGACCUGCCCCGAAGCGUGGGAUAACAGUCCGAAAGGAUUGCUAAUACCGCAUGUGGUCCAAGAGACUAGAGGCUUAUGGACUAAAGGAGACAUUCACUUCGGGAGGGGCCUGCGUCCCAUCAGCUAGUUGGUAGGGUAACGGCCUACCAAGGCGAUGACGGGUAGGGGACCUGAGAGGGUGGCCCCCCACAAUGGAACUGAAACACGGUCCAUACACCUACGGGUGGCAGCAGUAGGGAAUAUUGCAAAAUGGGCGCAAGCCCGAUGCAGCAACGCCGCGUGGGCGAUGAAGGCCUUCGGGUCGUAAAGCUC
rnacentral:rRNA from 1 species